AUUGAACGCUGGCGGCAUGCCUUACACAUGCAAGUCGAACGGCAGCACGGGAGCAAUCCUGGUGGCGAGUGGCGAACGGGUGAGUAAUAUAUCGGAACGUGCCCGGUCGUGGGGAUAACGUAGCGAAAGCUACGCUAAUACCGCAUACGAUCUACGGAUGAAAGCGGGGGAUCGCAAGACCUCGCGCGAUUGGAGCGGCCGAUAUCAGAUUAGGUAGUUGGUGAGGUAAAGGGCUCACCAAGCCGACGAUCUGUAGCUGGUCUGAGAGGACGACCAGCCACACUGGGACUGAGACACGGCCCAGACUCCUACGGGAGGCAGCAGUGGGGAAUUUUGGACAAUGGGCGCAAGCCUGAUCCAGCAAUGCCGCGUGCAGGAUGAAGGCCUUC
rnacentral:rRNA from 1 species